rnacentral:lncRNA from 1 species
CAUACAUGCAUUCCUUGGAAAGCUGAACAAAAUGAGUGGGAACUCUGUACUAUCAUCUUAGUUGAACUGAGGUCCACCGGGGGCUAUAGAGGGACAACUGUCAUUUUUUUUGAUGCCCGUUGCAUGAAGCAUUCUUCCAGGCUUAGGAAGGGAUUCCGUUUGGGUGAAGGAGAGUCACAGGGGAGUUGAGGCUAUGUGCACAGGACUUCUGUCUACAAGGCUGGGGUAGCACACAUGCAGUCCGUGGGACUAGGUGAAUGUGCAGGUUGCUCAGGGAGAGUUAACCUGUAGCCUGCCUCUGGGUGGCCAAGAUUGUCCUUGACUCCUGGCUCUGGGUUCCCACAACCCCUGGAGGAAGACAAGUAAUUGUGCUUGGGAAGAGAGAACAAGGCCAUACUUUUGCCUUUCUUUUUUUCAUUCUUAGUUUGAGAACAGUGGAGUUCCAAUCACCUGGCAUAGCUUUCAUGUUGUGUUCCAUGCAUUGUGAGUACAUGCAUAUGGCAGGAACACACAGGUUCCCACUGCAAGCUGAGCCUGAUAGGCAAGGAGUCUCUAGCUUAACCCCAGCCCAGUGUACGUCAAUGGCUUCCUCAUUAAAAUUGCAUGGCCCUGUAGCUUUUGUGAGUGACAUUAUAGGUAUCGAUGUAAGGGUGUUGAGAGGGAUGCUCAAUGUCAGUGCUCUUUAGUGUGCUGAUGCACUACUACAAGGGCACCUGAGCCCUUGUCCAUGCAUUUCUGUGUCCAAAAUCAGGUAAAGCCAGAGUUGGGUAUCAACCAGAUACACUGCAGGGGAUCAGAGGACAUGGCCUUUGUGUACUGCACAUCUGUCAGAUUUUCUCAAGCACACCCGUGUUUCCUCUUCACCUCCCACGUGGAAGUGAUGAAUUGGCCAGGACCAUGUUGGUGAGGGACAAUCAUCAUCUCAUGUUAACCUCAGAGAAGCCAGGAAGCUCCUGGACACACAUGGUGUAGGCUUCCUUGGAGGCUGUUGGAUCUCUCCUGAAUGUAAGCAAUUCCUUCCCAGUGCACCCUGAUUUUCCU